GGCCCAAGUCCUUGGGCCCCUGCACCCAUGUGGGAGACGUGGAAGAAGCUCCUGGCUCCAGGUUUCCAAUCAGUGCAGCUCUGGCUGUUGCAGCCAUUUGGAGGGUGAACCAGUGAAUGGAAGACCUCUCUCUCCCUCUCCUCUCUCUGUGUAACUCUUUCAAAUAAAUAAAUUAAAAAAAAAGGUGCAGCUGGGCCAAGAUGAAGCCCAGAGUGCCCUCUGGGUCUCCCCCGUGGGUGGCAGGGGCCCAAGCACUUGGGCCAACCUCCACUACCUUCCUCGGCACAUCAGCACGGAGCUGCAUGGAAUCUGGGUUCCUGGGACUGACACCAGCACCCCGACAUGAGGUGCAGAGGCAUAACGUGCUGUGUCUUAAGUUUUUAUUGACUUGCCGGGCAGGGAAACGGAGAUUUCCUAUUUGCUGGUUUAUACCCCAACAACAGCCCAGGCCAGGCCAGGCCGAGGCUGGUGGCCGGGAGGAACUCAGUCCAGGUCUACCCCAUGGGUGGCGGGCACCCGACGACUGGAGCCGUCACUGCUGCCUCCCAGGGUCUGCCUCAGCAGGAAGCUGGGGUCAGGAGCGCUGCCCGGCAUGGAGGAUCCGGGAUGCAGGCGUCCCUAGCAGUGUCUUCUCUGCGACACCAAAUGCCAGCCCCUUGGCAGCUUUUCGUAAGGCAAAACCAAGGUCAGGAGCAAGGGCAGGCAAGAGGAGACCCCUCCUGGACUCCCAAGUGUGUUGCUGUGGAUGUGAGAGGCAGUGUAGCCUGACAACUGCGGGCAAGCACCCGCGGCUUUGGGCUCCCGCUGUCCUCCGCCGGCCACCAGCGGUCUCCACCUGGCUGACAGGUUUGGGGCAGGUGAGCCUUGUCGGUGCCCGAGGGAGGGGAGCAUUGUGGGAACAGGCGUGCUCAGCGAGGUUGCCCUGGUAGCCAGGGAGGGUGCGGGGUACCACCUGCUGGUGCCCAGGGCAGCCAAGGCAGGGCUGGCACGUGUGCACCCGGGGCGGGGGUGGGGGACCCUUCGGUGGGCUCGGAGCAGCGUGCUGACCCCCCCUCCGCCCCCCCCAGCUGUUCGUGGACAAGGACACGAUCGUUAACGCCGUCGGGGCCUCGCACGACAUUCACCUGCUGAAGAUUGACAACCGAGAGGACGAGCUGGUGACCAGGAUCAACUCCUGGUGCACGCAGCUGGUGGACAAGAUUCACAGGGAUGAGAUCACGCGGAACCGCAAGCGGGUGCGGGAGAUCAAUCAAUACAUCGACCACGCGCAGAGAGAGCUGGAGAGCCUGGAGAGCCCCGACAUGGACUAGCGGCUGCGGCAGCCCCAGCCGGCGGCAGCGCGCAUGCGUCCCCGGCUGUCCCAGGACGGCCACGGGGCUGGGGGGGAGGGGGUCUCAGCCCCCUCGCACCUGUCUUUCCCCUGCUCGUGGGAAAACAUCCAGAGACGGAGAGAAAUAAACGGCCGAGCCGCCCUUCCCCUGUGCUUUCAAA